rnacentral:rRNA from 1 species
UACGUAGGGUGCAAGCGUUAAUCGGAAUUACUGGGCGUAAAGCGUGCGCAGGCGGUUGUGCACGUCCGAUGUGAAAUCCCCGGGCUCAACCUGGGAAUGGCAUUGGUGACUGCACGGCUAGAGUGUGUCAGAGGGGGGUAGAAUUCCACGUGUAGCAGUGAAAUGCGUAGAGAUGUGGAGGAAUACCGAUGGCGAAGGCAGCCCCCUGGGAUAACACUGACGCUCAUGCACGAAAGCGUGGGGAGCAAACAGG